AGCCCUCCCCUGGUGAUAGAGCGCAGCCCUGAAAAGGCUGGCGGCGGCGGUUCGAUUCCUGCC
rnacentral:tRNA from 1 species